UGUAUCCAUAGUAGGAAACUGGUAGC
rnacentral:piRNA from 1 species